rnacentral:misc_RNA from 1 species
AAGUCGUAACAAGGUAACCGUAGGUGAACCUGCGGUUGGAUCAUUAAAAAUUUUCGGUUGGGAACCAUGGUCAGUGGUUCCCAAUUAGAAAAACACCGUGUGCACCAUAUUCUGUCUUUGCCUCAUCCGGACGGCUGUUGGCUGCUCUUUUGGAGCCGACCGUCAAAGUGACUUUGAUAUUGUCACGCCGGCUGAGGCAACAGUGUCAAACCACUCUACAAUUUUUUAGUCGUUUUGUUCAUUCAAAAAUUUCACUUGUGAAAUGAAAAACAACUUUUGACAACGGAUCUCUUGGCUCUC